GUUUCAUUUAUAUUUAAAAUAGAAUUUUAUUUUUUAGUAAAAAAGCUAAAAUUUUAUUAAAAGACGAGAAGACCCUAUAAAUCUUUAUAAUUUUUUUUAUUUUAAUUUUUUUGGAUAAAUUUUAUUAUUGUAAAAAAAAUUAUUUUAUUGGGGUGAUAUUAAAAUUUAAAAAACUUUUAAUUAAAAGUUUACAUUAAUUAAUGAAUAAUUGAUCCAAUUUUAUUGAUUAACAAAUUAAGUUACUUUAGGGAUAACAGCGUAAUUUUUUUGGAGAGUUCUUAUCGAUAAAAAAGUUUGCGACCUCGAUGUUGGAUUAAGAGAUAUUUUUAAUGCAGAAGUUAAAAUAUAAAGUCUGUUCGACUUUUAAAUUCUUACAUGAUCUGAGUUCAAACCGGUGUAAGCCAGGUUGGUUUCUAUCUUUAAUUAAUUUUAAUAUUAUAGUACGAAAGGAAUUAUUAUUAAUAAAAUUUAUUUUUAUGAGAAU
rnacentral:rRNA from 1 species